rnacentral:misc_RNA from 1 species
ACACCCAUCAAGCCUGGCUUGGUAUUGGGCGACGGGACCUCCCCGCGCCCCGAUUUCGCCGGCUGGACGACCCCGAUCUCAAGCGUUGUACAAUCUCGCUGGUGGGAGGGGCGGCCACGCCGUUAACCCUAAUCAAUUA